UACGGAGGGAGCUAGCGUUGUUCGGAAUUACUGGGCGUAAAGCGCACGUAGGCGGCUCUUUAAGUCGGGGGUGAAAUCCUGGAGCUCAACUCCAGAACUGCCUUCGAUACUGUAGAGCUUGAGUUCGGGAGAGGUGAGUGGAACUGCGAGUGUAGAGGUGAAAUUCGUAGAUAUUCGCAAGAACACCAGUGGCGAAGGCGGCUCACUGGCCCGAUACUGACGCUGAGGUGCGAAAGCGUGGGGAGCAAACAGG
rnacentral:rRNA from 1 species